rnacentral:rRNA from 1 species
GACGAACGCUGGCGGCGUGCCUAAUACAUGCAAGUAGAACGCACAGUUUAUACCGUAGCUUGCUACACCAUAGACUGUGAGUUGCGAACGGGUGAGUAACGCGUAGGUAACCUGCCUGGUAGCGGGGGAUAACUAUUGGAAACGAUGGCUAAUACCGCAUAAUAUUAAUUAUUGCAUGAUAAUUAAUUGAAAGGUGCAAUUGCACCACUACCAGAUGGACCUGCGUUGUAUUAGCUAGUAGGUGAGGUAACGGCUCACCUAGGCGACGAUACAUAGCCGACCUGAGAGGGUGAUCGGCCACACUGGGACUGAGACACGGCCCAGACUCCUACGGGAGGCAGCAGCAGGGAAUCUUCGGCAAUGGACGAAAGUCUGACCGAGCAACGCCGCGUGAGUGAAGAAGGUUUUCGGAUCGUAAAGCUCUGUUGUAAGAGAAGAACGGGUGUGAGAGUGGAAAGUUCACACUGUGACGGUAUCUUACCAGAAAGGGACGGCUAACUACGUG